rnacentral:rRNA from 1 species
UACGAAGGGGGCUAGCGUUGCUCGGAAUCACUGGGCGUAAAGGGCGCGUAGGCGGUCUUUUAAGUCGGGGGUGAAAGCCUGUGGCUCAACCACAGAACUGCCUUCGAUACUGGGAGACUUGAGUUCGGAAGAGGUUGGUGGAACUGCGAGUGUAGAGGUGAAAUUCGUAGAUAUUCGCAAGAACACCGGUGGCGAAGGCGGCCAACUGGGCCGACACUGACGCUGAGGCGCGAAAGCGUGGGGAGCAAACGGG